rnacentral:rRNA from 1 species
UGGGGAAUUUUGGACAAUGGGCGAAAGCCUGAUCCAGCAAUGCCGCGUGUGUGAAGAAGGCCUUCGGGUUGUAAAGCACUUUUGUCCGGAAAGAAAUGGCUCUGGUUAAUACCUGGGGUCGAUGACGGUACCGGAAGAAUAAGGACCGGCUCACUACGUGCCAGCAGCCGCGGUAAUACGUAGGGUCCAAGCGUUAAUCGGAAUUACUGGGCGUAAAGCGUGCGCAGGCGGUUGUGCAAGACCGAUGUGAAAUCCCCGAGCUUAACUUGGGAAUUGCAUUGGGGACUGAACGGCUAGAGUGUGUCAGAGGGGGGUAGAAUUCCACGUGUAGCAGUGAAAUGCGUAGAGAUGUGGAGGAAUACCGAUGGCGAAGGCAGCCCCCUGGGAUAACACUGACGCUCAUGCACGAAAGCGUGGGGAGCAAACAGG